rnacentral:rRNA from 1 species
UGCCUCUUGGUCUGGGACAACUGUUGGAAACGACAGCUAAUACCGGAUAUUAUGAGAUUCUCGCAUGGGAAACUUAUGAAAGCUAUAUGCGCCAAGAGAGAGCCUUGCGUUCCAUUAGCUAGUUGGUGGGGUAACGGCCCACCAAGGCGACGAUGGAUAGCCGGCCUGAGAGGGUGAACGGCCACAAGGGGACUGAGACACGGCCCUUACUCCUACGGGAGGCAGCAGUGGGGAAUAUUGGACAAUGGGCCACAAGCCUGAUCCAGCAAUUCUGUGUGCACGAUGAAGGUCUUCGGAUUGUAAAGUGCUUUCAGUUGGGAAGAAGAAAGUGACGGUACCAACAGAAGAAGCGACGGCUAAAUACGUGCCAGCAGCCGCGGUAAUACGUAUGUCGCAAGCGUUAUCCGGAUUUAUUGGGCGUAAAGCGCGUCUAGGCGGAAAAAUAAGUCUGAUGUUAAAAUGCGGGGCUCAACUCCGUAUUGCGUUGGAAACUGUUUUUCUAGAGUACUGGAGAGGUGGGCGGAACUACAAGUGUAGAGGUGAAAUUCGUA